GAAAUGCGAUAAGUAAUGUGAAUUGCAGAAUUCAGUGAAUCAUCGAAUCUUUGAACGCACAUUGCGCCCUCUGGUAUUCCGGAGGGCAUGCCUGUUCGAGCGUCAUUUCAACCCUCAAGCAUUGCUUGGUGUUGGGGCACUGCUUUUAACGAAGCAGGCCCUGAAAUCUAGUGGCGAGCUCGCCAGGACCCCGAGCGCAGUAGUUAAACCCUCGCUCUGGAAGGCCCUGGCGGUGCCCUGCCGUUAAACCCCCAACUUCUGAAAAUUUGACCUCGGAUCAGGUAGGAAUACCCGCUGAACUUAA
rnacentral:misc_RNA from 1 species